rnacentral:rRNA from 1 species
GUCCAUGCUGUCAACGAUGAGUGUUGCAUAUUGGAAUGAAAAGGAAUAUUUCAGUGUGUCAGCUAACGCGUUAAACACUCCGCCUGGGGACUACGAUCGCAAGAUUAAAACUCAAAGGAAUUGACGGGAACCUGUACAAGCGGUGGAGCAUGUGGUUUAAUUCGAUAGAAAGCGAAAAAACCUUACCAAAUCUUUAAACAAUAGAAAAUGUGUUAUUGAAAAAUAAUAGAAUAUAUUACCUGGGUGUUUCUAUGGAAAUAUAGU